rnacentral:rRNA from 1 species
CCUACGGGGGGCUGCAGUAGGGAAUCUUCCACAAUGGGCGAAAGCCUGAUGGAGCAACGCCGCGUGGGUGAAGAAGGUCUUCGGAUCGUAAAACCCUGUUGUUAGAGAAGAAAGUGCGUGAGAGUAACUGUUCACGUUUCGACGGUAUCUAACCAGAAAGCCACGGCUAACUCCGUGCCAGCAGCCGCGGUAAUACGUAGGUGGCAAGCGUUAUCCGGAUUUAUUGGGCGUAAAGGGAACGCAGGCGGUCUUUUAAGUCUGAUGUGAAAGUCUUCGGCUUAACCGGAGUAGUGCAUUGGAAACUGGGAGACUUGAGUGCAGAAGAGGAGAGUGGAAUUCCAUGUGUAGCGGUGAAAUGCGUAGAUAUAUGGAAGAACACCAGUGGCGAAAGCGGCUCUCUGGUCUGUAACUGACGCUGAGGUUCGAAAGCGUGGGUAGCAAACAGGAUUAGAUACCCUUGUAGUC